rnacentral:rRNA from 1 species
AAAGAAAAUUCGAUUCCCUUAGUAGCGGCGAGCGAAACGGGAAGAGCCCAAACCAACAAGCUUGCUUGUUGGGGUUGUAGGACACUCUAUACGGAGUUACAAAGGACGACAUUAGACGAAUCAUCUGGAAAGAUGAAUCAAAGAAGGUAAUAAUCCUGUAGUCGAAAAUGUUGUCUCUCUUGAGUGGAUCCUGAGUACGACGGAACACGUGAAAUUCCGUCGGAAUCUGGGAGGACCAUCUCCUAAGGCUAAAUACUCUCUAGUGACCGAUAGUGAACCAGUACCGUGAGGGAAAGGUGAAAAGCACCCCGGAAGGGGAGUGAAAUAGAACCUGAAACCGUGUGCUUACAAGUAGUCAGAGCCCGUUAAUGGGUGAUGGCGUGCCUUUUGUAGAAUGAACCGGCGAGUUACGAUUUGAUGCAAGGUUAAGCAGUAAAUGUGGAGCCGUAGCGAAAGCGAGUCUGAAUAGGGCGUUUAGUAUUUGGUCGUAGACCCGAAACCAGGUGAUCUACCCUUGGUCAGGUUGAAGUUCAGGUAACACUGAAUGGAGGACCGAACCGACUUACGUUGAAAAGUGAGCGGAUGAACUGAGGGUAGCGGAGAAAUUCCAAUCGAACCUGGAGAUAGCUGGUUCUCUCCGAAAUAGCUUUAGGGCUAGCCUCAAGUGAUGAUUAUUGGAGGUAGAGCACUGUUUGGACGAGGGGCCCCUCUCGGGUUACCGAAUUCAGACAAACUCCGAAUGCCAAUUAAUUUAACUUGGGAGUCAGAACAUGGGUGAUAAGGUCCGUGUUCGAAAGGGAAACAGCCCAGACCACCAGCUAAGGUCCCAAAAUAUAUGUUAAGUGGAAAAGGAUGUGGCGUUGCCCAGACAACUAGGAUGUUGGCUUAGAAGCAGCCAUCAUUUAAAGAGUGCGUAAUAGCUCACUAGUCGAGUGACACUGCGCCGAAAAUGUACCGGGGCUAAACAUAUUACCGAAGCUGUGGAUUGUCCUUUGGACAAUGGUAG